rnacentral:lncRNA from 1 species
UUGAUAAAUGCAACUGAACCAGCUCAAGUUGAGACUAAGGAAAGAGCAUUGUCAGGUUGCAUUACAAAGGAAGCCAGCAGCAAAGGAGCUGUUCAACUCGGAGAGGCUGGAAAUGGGAGACAGACACCUGUGUAACAAGCAAAUGCAAAUCAUUGUCAUCUCAGAAGUGACCGAGAACAGAACACAAGCAUUAGUGUACGCAGCUCAAUCAGGUGACUACACGCGUGGAGAAGACAAAAAAGGGACACUGUCAUCCCGGGGACCAUCACCAGUGAGCGACUCCUUCCUCUUGACUGGGGAAACAGGAGCAGCAGCAGCGGUCCUCAGAGACUCACCGCGGGUGGAAGACAGAGCUGGGGCCAUCCUGGGUGCCAGGACCUGGAGCUGCAGAGGGGAAGGCUGGGGUUCACCCACAGCACAAGAUAAACAACCCGGCUGCAAGGGAUCCUGGGAAACAGUGCUGCUGCGACUCGGGUUAAACAGAGACAUAGCCGCUACGCCCCGCGCCUGCCUCAUGCGUGCGCACACACAUGUGCACUCACAAGCAUGCACACACGCCCUUCAGGUUCAUAGAGGUCUAUCUCCAAAAAUUUGGUUCUGUUAUUUAUUGUAUCCCUCCUCCCAUACACACAAUUUCUUUUUGUAAUCACUGUGUUUGGAGCAAGUUAUGGGGUCGGCAGAGAACAAGCUUUGGAAGUAUAAAGUCACAUCAUGAGCCUGAGUGUCACAUUUUCUUUAGCACAAAAAUUUUACUCUUAACAUUUUUUCUCAAAAGGUUUCUGAACUAAAAGAACCUAGGUUAUCAAUACAGUCAAUUCUGGAUCUAAG